rnacentral:rRNA from 1 species
GGGGAAUAUUGGGCAAUGGACGCAAGUCUGACCCAGCAACGCCGCGUGAAGGAAGAAGGCUUUCGGGUUGUAAACUUCUUUUAAGGGGGAAGAGUAGAAGACGGUACCCCUUGAAUAAGCCACGGCUAACUACGUGCCAGCAGCCGCGGUAAUACGUAGGUGGCAAGCGUUGUCCGGAUUUACUGGGUGUAAAGGGCGUGUAGCCGGGAAGGCAAGUCAGAUGUGAAAUCUGGAGGCUCAACCUCCAAACUGCAUUUUGAAACUGCUUUUCUUGAGUGUCGGAGAGGUAAUCGGAAUUCCUUGUGUAGCGGUGAAAUGCGUAGAAAUAAGGAGGAACACCGGUAGCGAAGGCGACUUACUGGACUGUAACUGACGCUGAGACACGAAAGCGUGGGGAGCGAACA